UAUCGGUUAGUUUAGUGGUAGAAUGUGAGGUUGCUAGCCUGAGGCAGGGGUCCGAUUCCCCAUUGAGAA